rnacentral:rRNA from 1 species
GUAGGUGACAAGCGUUGUCCGGAAUUAUUGGGCGUAAAGCGCGCGCAGGCGGUUCUUUAAGUCUGAUGUGAAAGCCCACGGCUCAACCGUGGAGGGUCAUUGGAAACUGGAGAACUUGAGUACAGAAGAGGAAAGCGGAAUUCCACGUGUAGCGGUGAAAUGCGUAGAGAUGUGGAGGAACACCAGUGGCGAAGGCGGCUUUCUGGUCUGUAACUGACGCUGAGGCGCGAAAGCGUGGGGAGCAAACAGGGAUUAGAUACCCUGGUAGUCCACGCCGUAAACGAUGAGUGCUAAGUGUUAGGGGGGUUUCCGCCCCCUUAGUGCUGCAGCUAACGCAUUAAGCACUCCGCCUGGGGAUACGGCCGCAAGGCUG